UUCCGUAGGUGAACCUGCGGAGGGAUCAUUACCGAGUUUACAACUCCCAAACCCAAUGUGAACGUUACCAAACUGUUGCCUCGGCGGGGUCACGCCCCGGGUGCGUCGCAGCCCCGGAACCAGGCGCCCGCCGGAGGAACCAACCAAACUCUUUACUGUAGUCCCCUCGCGGACGUUUUUACUUACAGCUCUGAGCAAAAAUUCAAAAUGAAUCAAAACUUUCAACAACGGAUCUCUUGGUUCUGGCAUCGAUGAAGAACGCAGCGAAAUGCGAUAAGUAAUGUGAAUUGCAGAAUUCAGUGAAUCAUCGAAUCUUUGAACGCACAUUGCGCCCGCCAGUAUUCUGGCGGGCAUGCCUGUCCGAGCGUCAUUUCAACCCUCGAACCCCUCCGGGGGGUCGGCGUUGGGGAUGCGGGAACCCCUAAGACGGGAUCCCGGCCCCGAAAUACAGUGGCGGUCUCGCCGCAGCCUCUCCUGCGCAGUAGUUUGCACAACUCGCACCGGGAGCGCGGCGCGUCCACGUCCGUAAAACACCCAACUUUCUGAAAUGUUGACCUCGGAUCAGGUAGGAAUACCCGCUGAACUUAAGCAUAUCAAUAAGCGGAGGAA
rnacentral:rRNA from 1 species